AUUGAACGCUGGCGGCAGGCUUAACACAUGCAAGUCGAGCGGAGAUGAGGUGCUGCACCUUAUCUUAGCGGCGGACGGGUGAGUAAUGCUUAGGAAUCUGCCUAUUAGUGGGGGACAACAUUCCGAAAGGAAUGCUAAUACCGCAUACGCCCUACGGGGGAAAGCAGGGGAUCGUCGGACCUUGCGCUAAGAGAUGUGGCUAAGUCGGAUUAGCUAGUUGGUGGGGUAAAGGCCUACCAAGGCGACGAUCGGUAGCGGGUCUGAGAGGAUGAUCCGCCACACUGGGACUGAGACACGGCCCAGACUCCUACGGGAGGCAGCAGUGGGGAAUAUUGGACAAUGGGCGGAAGCCUGAUCCAGCCAUGCCGCGUGUGUGAAGAAGGCCUUUUGGUUGUAAAGCACUUUAAGCGAGGAGGAGGCUACCUGGAUUAAUACUCUAGGAUAGUGGACGUUACUCGCAGAAUAAGCACCGGCUAACUCUGUGCCAGCAGCCGCAGUAAAAC
rnacentral:rRNA from 1 species